GAGGAACAAAAGCAAAAACAAAACUCUCAUAGAGUAGUUUUUGUUUUUAAUCUGUGUGAAGUGUUUGAUAGAUUUUCUUAUAGCGUCCUUAUUUCUUAUUUUGGUUUAUGAGCAAUGCUUUGUUGAUUUCUUUGAAUUGUGGGGGCAUUUUCGGGUUUGAAGC